rnacentral:rRNA from 1 species
AGGGCACCACCAGGAGUGGAGCCUGUGGCUUAAUUUGACUCAACACGGGGAAACUCACCAGGCCCGGACACCAGAAGGAUUGACAGAUUGAUAGCUCUUUCUUGAUUUGGUGGUUGGUGGUGCAUGGCCGUUCUUAGUUGGUGGAGUGACCUGUCUGGUUAAUUCCGAUAACGAACGAGACUCUGUCCUGCUAAAUAGAUCCAGCCUUUCUUUUGGGUUGGACUCGCUUCUUAGAGGGACUGGCGAUGACUAGUCGCACGAGAUUGAGCAAUAACAGGUCUGUGAUGCCCUUAGAUGUUCUGGGCCGCACACGCGCUGCACUGAAUUGAUCAGCUAGUUUUUCCCUUUCCGAGAGGAACGGGUAAACUGUUGAACCCAAUUCGUGGUAGGGAUUAGAGCUUGCAAUUGUUCUCUAUGAACCAGGAAAUUCCCAGUAAGCGCGAGUCAUCAGCUCGCGUUGAUUACGUCCCUGUCCUUUGUACACACUGCCCGUCGCUACUACCGAUUGAAUGUUUUAGU